CGUCACGACCCCGGGAGAGCGGCGCUCCAGGACGGUGGUGAUGUUCAGUGCAACGAGGCGGUAGCCGGGCUUCCUGGGGUAGUGGUCUAGUUGGGCGCUUCCUCUGCGCUCUCGCUCCCCUUCCCCUGUCCUGGCCAUGCGCCCGGCCUUCGCAGUGGGCCUGGUUUUCGCAGGCUGCUUCAGUAACGUGAUCUUCCUAGAGCUCCUGGCCCGGAAACAUACAGGAUGUGGGAACAUUGUGACAUUUGCACAGUUUUUACUUAUCGCUGUGGAAGGCUUCCUCUUUGAGGCUGAUUUGGGAAGGAAGCAUCCGGCUAUCCCAAUAAGGUACUACGCCGUAAUGGUGACCAUGUUCUUCACCGUCAGCGUGGUGAACAACUACGCCCUGAAUCUUAACAUCGCCAUGCCCCUGCACAUGAUAUUUAGAUCUGGUUCUCUAAUUGCCAACAUGAUUCUAGGAAUUAUCAUUUUGAAAAAACGAUACAGUAUCUUCAAAUAUACCUCCAUUGCCCUGGUGUCUGUGGGGAUAUUUGUUUGCACUUUCAUGUCAGCAAAGCAGGUGACUUCUCAGUCCAGCUCAACUGAGAAUGAUGGAUUCCAGGCGUUUGCAUGGUGGUUACUAGGCAUUGGGGCACUGACUUUCGCUCUUCUGAUGUCCGCAAGGAUGGGUAUUUUCCAAGAGACUCUGUACAAACAAUUUGGGAAACACUCCAAGGAGGCUUUGUUUUAUAAUCAUGCCCUUCCACUUCCUGGUUUCAUCUUCUUGGCUUCUGACAUUUAUGACCAUGCAGUUCUGUUCAAUAAUUCUGAAUUGUAUCAGGUUCCAGUCAUUGGUGAGACAGUGCCCAUCAUGUGGUUCUACCUCCUCAUGAAUGUCAUCCCUCAGUACGUGUGCAUCCGGGGCAUCUUCAUCCUCACCACAGAAUGCGCCGCCCUCACCGUCACCCUCGUCGUGACGCUGCGCAAGUUCGUCAGCCUCAUCUUCUCCAUCUUGUACUUCCAGAACCCUUUCACCCCGUGGCACUGGCUGGGCACCUUGUUUGUCUUCACUGGGACCCUCAUGUACACAGAGGUGUGGAACAACCUGGGGGCCGCCAAAGGCCAGCCUCAGAAGGAGAAGAACUGAGGCCGGCCUGCAGUAGAGACACCAGAGGCUAAUGGGCCGGGGCCUGGCCGCCAUUUCACCUUGGUUAAUGCUGAAUUACCCGCCGUGUACCAGGGAAUCCUCAGAGGGAGGGACUUCUCAUUUCUCAUGGCUCUGCAGACGCACAUUUGUGGACCCUGAGUAGAUGCCCCUCUAUCCUGAAGUAGAAAAGAGAACGGUUCUCCGCUAUCGGGUAGCCCUGUUCAUUUGUUAUUUCUGUUUUGUUUACCAAAAUAUUCAGCACUGUACUGGCUUACUGAAUUCUGAGUCCCCAGAGCUACUCGUUUUAUAUCCGUGGUCUCAGACAAGAUUAUCUCUGUUCUGAUGAUUCUCUUCUGUAACAGCCAUCCUCCUCCGGGGGCCUCGUCCCCUUGCUCCGUCACCCUGCCACGCUCAGCUGCACUUUUAAGUCUGACGCUCCAGGCACCCUUACCAGGAACAACUGAAUGGCCGAGAGAACUGAGGCUCCGGGGAUGGUGGGGCUGGGCUUUAUCCCGAGAGUCGGGCAAGAAGCAGGUGCCCCUGUGUGCCCUGUGACACGGGCAAGACUGGUGCGAAUCCUUUUCCACGUUUUUCCUUGUUUUUUUCCCCUCUGUGCAACAGUCAUGUGCUUUCAUACCUUUUGCUUUCUGUACUUAGAACAAACUGCAGCAGUUCUCUAUGGCACAGUGUUAAAAGUUGUGUGAAUUGGGAAAAGAGAGACUUUUGCUCUCUGUCUUCACUCAGUUGUCUGAGUCAUUUAGCCUCAAGGUUAGAUGGUGAUGCCAGGAGGACCCAGGAGAAACUGGCCAAGAGGGCACUCGGAGAGCCACGGGCUCUCCCGCCUCUACACCCAGCCAGGCACUCAGGGCGGGUUCCAUGUGGGAGAGAGGUUAAGUCUUUGAAACGCUCCUUAAUCAGAGAGGUUCAUCUCUGCCUGGCAACUCUUUUCAGAGUUACGACCAGUCAGGCUAAUGGGUAAACCAAUAUAUUCAGUACAUGUGGGUGUGGUGUAUCAGGCCAAACCACAACUGAAAUAGAAGGUUUUUCUUUUUUUAAACAAGGCAUCUCAAUGUUCUUGCUGGGUUUGGGGUUGAGUGUGUUUUUUAUAUGUAGAAACCUGCCUCCCACCAUUUUGCUAAUCAUUUCAAAGGUCUGGUUUUCCUCCCAUGGGAUAAUUUUGAGAAAGAAGAACAGUGUUAGGGUGACGUGUGUAGGGGUGUGUAUGCUCUUGUAUAGUUUGUGAUCACUUGUGUGGAGAGGAGAACAUGAAAGUCAGUGUUUUAUUUCCUCUUUCUUCAACAGCCCCGACCUGCAUCUCAUCAGAUAUGUGAUUUGGGGUCCAUCAGACUUAGCAGCCUCUCUCUUUUUGCACAUAGAGGCCUCUCCUUCUGUGCUGGGCACAGAUUGUGUUCUUAAAUCGAGAGAGGUGGCUCUCCAGAUCUCCUGGGCUCACCCAGGGUAUGAUGUGUUUAUUCCACUAUCAGGAGUUGUUCUCUGAUGGGGUCUGAGAUGAGUGUCCUAGAAACCCUGGGUCACUUUGGGGGAGGUCAGUUAAGCUGCCUCGGGUUUUUUGUUACAUACGGUAUGGAUACUGUUUCUCCACCUAAGUCCCAGGGUUUUCAGAUCGAUUUGUUGUUCUGGACAUUGACAGCUGUGCUGUGCCAGUGAGAGUCUAUACUAAAAGAUGCUGAAUUAAGUGUGAAUUUGUUCAUGGACUCAAAAGGCAUUUAAUUUCUUUGAACUGUGUAGAGUUUCUCAGACUGGUGGUGCUAUAAAUACUAUGUGUUAAAUAGCCUCUUAAGAACAAAAGCUACUUUUCUUACUGUGUAAUAAAAGAACCUGUCCCCAGGGGCUGUUUGAUUGCUACAUGUCUGGAGUCUUGACAGGAUAACUAUACAGCUUUACAUGAAAUAGUAUCACUUUUUUUUUAAUGUGGAUAGGAAAUAUUACAAUUUUUAGUAAUUGAAACAGUGUUGAUGUACACAGACAGCAUUUAACUGGGUUCCUGAGGUUUUAGGUUCUGGCUUACGGAGUAUGUGUCUAAACACUUCUGCUGGUCUUAUUCAUAGGAGGAUGGGUAUGGAUAGCUUAGGGCACUCAUACAAUGAAAUGAGUGCAUGUAAGAACACAAUGCCCUGGGAAUUGGUUUUUCUUUCCAGUAGUUGCAUAUAAGGAAAUAUAGCUAACAGAUCCUAAUUAAUACUUUUUAAAAACAGUUUAUUCCCCUUGGUUAACUGUUUUUUCAAUCCUGGUUGAAUUUUAUUUCAAUCCCUGUUAAAAGGGCAAAUAAACCAUUUUAUAGAGGAUCCACCUCAUCUGUAACUGGAGAAGAAAUGUCUGUUAAAUGCCUCUCCUCUAUCUCUGGAUCAAGACCGUGCAAUUUUGUGCCCCAGAGAGAGAGGAUAUGGUUUGUUUACAAGAGAGAUUGAUCUUUAAGGCAUCCAAAACUCUACCCUUAGAGCAAAGAUCAAAUAGCAAAUGACUAGCCAGAAAAUACAAGUUUUGUGUGUGUAAAUAUACCUGUGAACUCACUUCAUAGCUUGACCAGGGUCAUAAAUUAGGCAAAAGGAGAAAAUUGGGGAUAUUUGAGUUAUUUCAUUUAAUGUCUGCAUAUCCUUUACCACAGUUCCAUUGUUGUGUUAUAAAUGCUUUUUCAUUUUUUAUUAGGAAUUUAUUUUUGAUCUUUUAUUUUCUUUUUCAUCCAGCUGAAACCAUUAAUCCAUUUAAUAAGUUUCUGUCAAGUUCUGAAGUAUUUGGACACAAUCUGGAUAGUCUUUUCCUUCUUUCUGCAGUUACCCAAAAUGAAUCUGGUCCCUGAAAUUUGGUCAUUGUGUCCAGUGAAGAAAAACACAGAAGCUGAGUUGAUCUCUGCCAACCUCACCAAACCCCCUCCAUUCUUCUGGGAAGAUUACUUGGUGUUUUAUAAGGAUUAUUAUAGCUUGUGUCAUUCCCUGAGCACCUUUCCUCCCUUCUGCAUAUUUUUUUUUUUUCACAUCCUAACCCCUACCUCCAAUUUCUUCAGCAGCCUCUGGUUACUCGCAGAGUUUUCUACUGAGCGACACCUAUAACCUUGUAUCUAUUUAUGCCUCUAUUCUUUGGGGCCUCUAGGUGUCUUUUGUGGAUUUUUAUAGGAUAUACAUAUCUGUGUAGCAUGUAUUUUGUUAUACAUUGUUUUAAGCACUGAUACUAGGGGUGUGUCUAUAUACAGAUACAAAUAUCGGGCAGAGCGAAUGUAUGUGUAGAUGAGUAAGAACAAGAAGGGUUAAUGUACAAAUGUUUAUAUACUGUUACAGCUCAAAGUGGGGUGGAGAAUCCUACCAAUCCUACCACAUUCUUGUCUAUAUUUGGGAAGCAGUAGUUUUCAUCUUUUGCUCUUUUUACCCUACCUCUAGCUGACUUCACUCACAGUGCCAAAUGUCUAUGGUGAGGGGAGGUGGGCCGCAUUAGGUCAGGAGUAAUUGUAAACCAAUAAAUUCGUUCUGGGCUGGGGGACACACUUAUUGGUGGGCUAGCACAUAAGCCAAUGUAGCAAAGAUCUGAGCAUCUCCAUAAAUGCACAGUGAAAGACACCCUAACAUGGAGAUAGGAAAUCAAGAUCCUACAUUUGCUGUAGUUUGUUUCUCUUUGGCUAGAACUAGGAGCAUUUUGGUCUCAAUAGCUUUAUUCUGAAAAAUGUCCAUGGAAGCUCAGUCUUAGGGUGAAAGAACUGUCAGUAUAGAUAAAAUCCAUUAUGGAUGUGUGACCUUUGGAAAUGAGUAUAAAUAGUAAAGUUAAUAAUAAGCAUUAGCAUACAUGUAGUGUGCACCAGGCUGGGCUAGGAGACACUAGUUGUGUGUGCUCUUUCUAGGGCCUUCCUUACGGUCGGCACCUCAGAGAAGGGAGGGACCAGGAUCUGACUUGCAUCUCAUGAAUAAAUAAAUCCUCGCCAAGAUCUCUUACUCCCUCAAGUUUCUGAGAAAGCUUCUAAUGGUUCUUGAUACCUGUUCCCACCCUUCAUCAGUAGGUCAGCAAGAAAGCAAAUAGGACAACAUUCCUGAGAUUCUAAGCCAGAGAAGGAAGGGAGGAUGCACACCAGGAGUUGUGCAGAUGCUGCUUUCUGCUCUCCAGUUGCCAGUGGGAGGAGGGCAGAGCAUUACAUAUUUAGCACCUUGCAUCAUUUGAUGCUCAACGCAAGCAGAGGCCCUCAGGGUACCAUUAAAGAUGCUUAAAAGUUUUUGGAGUAGGCUGCUUGGGGUGUCCCUUACAUCUCCAAAGCUGGUAUAGUGGGUUUGCAUCAGCUGAUGCCUUGAGCUCAUUGUCUUUUUGUCUCCUCAGAAUCACAUGGAGAUUUACCUACUUAAAUCACUCAGCGUUCUACCAAAUGCCCUCGAUUUCAAUCAAGUAAGGCAAGCUGCAGGGGUACCAGCCAUAGGUGGGUUGGGGGGAGGAAAGCUUGGUCUCCAUUUAGAAGAAAUAAGACUUAUACUUUUUAAAGUAAACGUUGUAAUGAUUCUUUGGCACACUGGAUUAUUUAUAGCUUUUGAGAUGUAAAGAAGACUCCGUGAACCAGGAGCAGCAGUAAUUAUUCCCCGACGUGAUGAAAAUGUUCUUUGUGUGUUGCUUGCAAUCACAAGUCAUUUCUGUGCUAGUUGCUUUCAUUCAAGAGAAUGGCACCAUCCUCCCCCAAAAGAGGAUGAUUUUUAAAGUAGGAUUUUGUAACAGAUUAUGUGGCAUGGGGCUGGGGAAAGAUGAUGGGGAUUUGAUUUUUCCAGCCUCUGAGCUCUUCAUUCAUAUUGUGAUUUAAGAAAAAAGAUGGGGGGGGGGGUGCGCGGUGGCUAGACAGUAGUAGAAUAUGUAGAACAGCUAAGACAUUAGUGAGUAUUCAGAUUUUGAGCUGUGUAAAUAUCAAAUGUCAGCUUCCAGCCUUCUGAGUUAUUUGAGCAGAGAGUUAUGGAGAAAAGGGAGAUUUUGUGAAUAAAAUGUUUUUGCCAAACAAA